rnacentral:rRNA from 1 species
UACGGGGGGAGCUAGCGUUGUUCGGAAUUACUGGGCGUAAAGCGCGCGUAGGCGGCUUUGUAAGUUAGAGGUGAAAGCCCGGGGCUCAACCCCGGAACUGCCUUUAAGACUGCAUCGCUUGAAUCCGGGAGAGGUGAGUGGAAUUCCGAGUGUAGAGGUGAAAUUCGUAGAUAUUCGGAAGAACACCAGUGGCGAAGGCGGCUCACUGGACCGGCAUUGACGCUGAGGUGCGAAAGCGUGGGGAGCAAACAGG